GAUGAAGAACGUAGCGAAAUGCGAUAAGUAGUGUGAAUUGCAGAAUUCAGUGAAUCAUCGAAUCUUUAAACGCACAUUGCGCCCCUCGGUAUUCCGUGGGGCAUGCCUGUUCGAGCGUCAUUUAACCCCUCAAGCCUAGCUUGGUAUUGGGUGCUUGUCCCGCCUCUCGCGCGGCGACUCACCUCAAAGUCAUUGGCAGCCCGCAUCUCGCCGGCCGUGAGCGCAGCACAGACGCGCUCUUGGCAACGACGGAUCGGCUCUCCAAAAGCUUAUUUCAACCACUGACCUCGGAUCAGGUAGGGAUACCCGCUGAACUUAAGCAUAUCAAUAAGCGGAGGA
rnacentral:misc_RNA from 1 species